ACGGGUUAUAACUUAGAGAUUGUCAAUAAUCUAAUAAAUUUGGCGGUAUUAGGGUCUAACUAGAGGAAUCUGUCCUGUUAAGGAUAAAACACCUAAAGCUUUUCUUCACUUAUUUUAGUUAGCAUAUCGCCGUUGUUAGAUAAUUAUCUUAAUAUAUCGUCUUAAUUUUAUUAAGCACUUCAGGUCAAGAUACUACUUAUAGUGAAGUUUGAGAUGGAUUACAAUCUACAGAUAGAUACGGAAAAUUUUUUAUUUGAAGGCGGAUUUAGUUGUAAGAAUUAAACUAUGUUAUUCUGAAUCAGGUCUCUAAUAUGU
rnacentral:rRNA from 1 species